rnacentral:lncRNA from 1 species
CACUUCUGUGAACUUUUAUGAACUCUAACACUCACCGCAAAGGUCUGCAGCUUCACCCCUGAGGCCAGGGAGACCACGAACCCACCGGAAGGAAUGAACAACUCCAGACGCACUGCCUUUAAGAGCUGUAACACUUACCACGGCUGUCUGCAGCUUCACUCCUGAAGUCAGCGAGACCACAAACCCAACAGAAGGAAGAAACUCCCGACACAUCUGAACAUCUGAAGGAACAAACUCUGGACACACCAUCUUUAAGAACUGUAACACUCACCGUGAGGGUCCACCGCUUCAUUCUUGAAGUCAGCCAGACCAAGAACCCACCAAUUCCGUCUGUCUGAAUCAUGUUAUUGGACCAUGAGAGCAAGCAGCUGGAUCUCAUUCUGUCCAGGACUCCUGGAAACAGCAGCUCUAACAAAAUUGUCUUCAAUAAAUAAGUUUUUUUGCAUCACA